GUCUGAACUCAUACCAUAAUGAAGGUCCCAGUUAGAAUAGCUGGUAAAGUCUGUUAAGCAUUUAAUUGGAGGCUUGGGAAGAAGUCUUUCAUUCAUCAUGACUAGAUGGACUCGAGGGCUAGUGGAGUUCAAAAGGAAAAAGAAGCCAAAAGAAAUGGUUUAAGUUGCGUUUCAAGCUCUCUUAGUAAUUUUGAAUGGCAUUUAUUAACUUGUCUAUGG
rnacentral:misc_RNA from 1 species